AAUAUUGGACAAUGGGCGAAAGCCUGAUCCAGCAAUGCCGCGUGAGUGAUGAAGGCCUUAGGGUUGUAAAGCUCUUUUACCCGGGAUGAUAAUGACAGUACCGGGAGAAUAAGCCCCGGCUAACUCCGUGCCAGCAGCCGCGGUAAUACGGAGGGGGCUAGCGUUGUUCGGAAUUACUGGGCGUAAAGCGCACGUAGGCGGCUUUGUAAGUUAGAGGUGAAAGCCUGGAGCUCAACUCCAGAACUGCCUUUAAGACUGCAUCGCUAGAAUUGUGGAGAGGUGAGUGGAAUUCCGAGUGUAGAGGUGAAAUUCGUAGAUAUUCGGAAGAACACCAGUGGCGAAGGCGGCUUCCUGGACCGAUCACUGACGCUGAGUGAGCGAAAGCCAGGGGAGCAAAC
rnacentral:rRNA from 1 species